CUCACUUCGCACAGAAGUGUUUUGUGUGGCUCAGUGCAUGAAAAACAUAUUAUAUGUAUACGAAAACAAGUUUAAGGGAUUUUGUUUUAUAUUAAAAAUUUCAUUAUAAGGAAAUUUGUUUUUUUUUCUCUUCACACAAGAAGGCAGAAAUAAAAAUUGUAAUGAUAAACGCAUUCAUUUAAAUGUAUUCAAUUGGUUGGAUUAGUUAGUAUUUUACCACAGUCAAGUGUGGCGUCACGUUUUGGAGUGUUCUGUUUUUUUUUAAUAUACACAGAGUUUAUAUUUAGAUUCGCGGUUUAAAAGACUUUAUGAUGGCUACCAUAUACAUGCAUGGGGAUUAUGGCAUUUCACUUUGUAAAUUUUUAACCCUUCUGUUGAUUUGGAGCAUUUUUAUGGAAUUGAAUACCACCGUUGCAGAGAAAGAAGGACCACUUUGCAUAAAGCUUGGCAUGAAGUGCACACAUAACUUUGAUUGUUGCAACGAAUACUGCUUGGCGGGCUAUUGUCUUCCUCCAUCCCAACUAUUACUAGCCCGGGAUGACUGAAAAAAUUAUUUUCUCUUUAUUUUUUAUAAAUAUUAUUUCGUUUUUGCAUAAGUCUUUCAACAUUAGGUAUAUUUUUGUUUGUAUUCAAUGUGUAUAUUAUAUAAAAAUUUUAAGAUAAU